CCGCCCACGCUCCGCGCGCACUACCUCGAGCUGCGCCUUUUGACAGGACUAUUUAUUUGUACUCCUCGGAACAAACCACCCUGGCAAAGAAGAGGGGGUUGGAAAGGGGGGCAAGAGAACUUCAAGCUAAGCUGCAGAGAUAGAUAUUUAAAGUAAAGGACCCCAAAUCACCAGGCUGAACACGUUGAGAAACACUUCCGGUUGGAUUUCUGCCGCGCAUGGUAACGGAAGCCUUAGCGCUGGAGCAGCGUUAGGCUUGAUUCCUCGGGCAGCGUGGACACCCUGGGGACAUCAUCCCGAGCUCCAUGGCCUAGUUCAUUAGCCUUUCGGAGCAGCAGUAGUUAGGAGCAGGACACCUAGAACGAGGAGAUGACGGAUCCGGUAAUACGAUGCACGAGUCACGUGGUGUGCAGGUCACAUGGUGUGCUGGUCACAUGCGGAGGCAGGUCUGUUUGGAGGCAGGUUAUGUUGGGCGUACAGAGUGAGGUCACCCUCAGGCCAGGCCUUGGCUUUUCUUUCUUCGACUUCACGAAGCCACAGGCUCAGCUCCAGGUCCUCUGCAGCAUCUGUGCCGGGUCGCCCAGGAUGUCCCCACACUCCCAACCCCAGAAGGAAAGGAGCUCCUGGCACUUGGACACCGCCAACUACGUGGUCAGGCGCCUGUGGGAACACUCGGAAUGGACUGCAGAAGUUCUCCGUUAUCCUCCGCACAACCAGUCCUCCGCUGCAGGUUUAUUUAUCCAAAAGUUGCAGCAAGAGUUUUGCCUCUUGGAACCCCAAGAGGCCACUGCCUGGACACAUCAGGUUUGCGGACACUCAGGCUAGAAAAGUCUGGGUUAAGAAUGAAAAAGGGGAAGAGGAAAGUGAUAUGAUUCAGAGACCUGAUUUUCUCUGCCAUUCAAGAGGGAAGAAAAAAAUCCUUAUCUAUUGCUUUGACAAGUAAAAAUGUAAGUGGCUUUGGGAAAAGUUUUUUUUUUCUUUAAGCAAUACCUGUGGAUUAUAGAUAGCCAGCACCAAAGUGUAAACUCUAACGCCAAUGGAACGCUGUGUAUCUCCUGCAAAUGACUUUGAUUACUCCAUUAGCAGAGUAAAGCACACCAGCUCUCUCUCGGAGAAAAAGCUCUGUGCUGAUGUCCUCCAAAGGAGGGGAGUCCUGUUUGCAGAAUAAUCCCUGGGCGUCACUGAUUUGGAGCAUCCUGAAGGGGGAACUAGUUUAAAAAAAAAAUCCCUUGAGACAGCCUUUAACUGUUGGGCAGAAGCUAAGAAACUUCUGUGCCAGGAGAUUUUUCUUUUAGUGUUUAUCGGCAGUACUUUGGAAGUGUGAAAAUAUUCCAUUACCAAAACAUCCUUUGAAAUGUAGCGCACGGCUCUGGUCUCCAGUAUGUGGUCCCAAGCCUUGUUGAUUGUGGAGUUAGCCUAGGAGAGAAUAACAUCCUGCCAUGUGGCUUGUACUGGAAAGAGCCCCCUUCUGCUGUGGACAUUAGAAGAUUUCUGCGUCCAUCAGCUGCGUGGCCUUGGGCUGCUUGCUCACCGUCUCGGAGUUGUUUCUCUGUGUACAGCCCACCUCCCGGAGGCUGCCCGGUGUUCAGGCACCCCUGGAAACUGUAGAGCAUUGUUCAAGGUUAGUUAUUAUGUUAUUUUCCCCAUCCUUGUUCUCUCUUCAGCAGCACUAUAUUGUCCCCAUCCUCUCUCCUAGCAUCCCAUUUUUGUCGUACCUCUUCUCCCAAUAGAGUCAUUCCCCUACUCCGAGUUGGUUUCAUUUUAGUAACCCUCCCACCUUCCA